GGGGAAUUAGCUCAUCUGGUAGAGCAUCUGCCUUGCACGCAGAGGGUGGCAGGUUCGAGUCCUGUAUUCUCCA
rnacentral:tRNA from 1 species